CCUACGGGGGGCAGCAGUGAGGAAUAUUGGUCAAUGGGCGCGAGCCUGAACCAGCGAAGUCGCGUGAGGGAAGACGGCCCUACGGGUUGUAAACCUUUUUUGCCGGGGAGCAACGGGCGCCACGUGUCGCGCCACUGCGAGUACACGGAGUAACAGCAGCGGCUAACUCCGUGCCAACAGCCGCGGUAAUACCGGGGAUGCGAGCGUUAUCCGGAUUUAUUGGGGUAACAGGGUGCGUAGGCGGAGCGUUAAGUCAGUGGUCAAAUUGAGGGGCUCACCCCGUUCCCGACAUUGAAACUGGUGCUCUUGAGUGGAAGAGAAGUAUGCGGAAUGCGUGGUGUAGCGGUGAAAUGCAUAGAUAUCACGCAGAACCCCGAUGGCGAAGGCAGCAUGCCGGCUUCCUACUGACGCUGAAGCACGAAAGCGUGGGGAUCGAACAGGAUUAGAUACCCUUGUAGUC
rnacentral:rRNA from 1 species